AGUGGUGCCUGCUAAUUUCCACUGCAAGGAUUUCGUCCACGAAUGUUAUCAUAGGUUACGAGCGACUCCAGAGGCAAUUUGGAAUCUCGGCACGAAGUCGUCUGCUGAAAAUCUGAAGUGCCCGACGCACAACAUUUUGAACGUGCCACGGAGGAUCAAGGCAAAAAACGAGAGCAAAAAAGGUGCACGCUGAAGGCGGAAAUUAAGCAUGAUCUGGCUUGCAUCUGGUGCACGAAGAAAUUGCUGACACGUUAGUUGCAGUCUACCUCCACCAACAGGGUGGAAAACAAAGGUCGCCAUUCCGAUUAGCUGCUAUCUCCCAGUUCAAGCACUUUUGCUGUCUGGACACUGGUUCCUGUGGAUGGGGUGUUACAAGCUUCACUGUCUGAUAUAGAAGCUACGUUACAUUAGUUCAGUUAAUUUGUCUUUUGCACAUUUUUGUUACUGUUAGCUGGAUUACUGUUGGACAUACAAUCCUUUGACACACCGAAGCUGAUGUUGUUGAAGCUGAUAACGUUUUAGAAUUUUCAGUGUCAUCAAUGUC